UCCCCCGCACCCAGGCCGGGGCCACCACCAGGCAGCCAGCAUCCGCUUCCUGCCCCCCAGCUUUGUUCUUCCCACAAUGUCAAGUGAAGGGACCCAGAAGCGCGUAGUCUUCUGGGCCCAGCCUCCUCUGCGUAGGGUAGUGACUGCGAGGUUCCACUUGUGGAAUCAGGAGCUCCUCGGCGUUUCUGGCCUAGCCACGUACGCUGUAUGGAGCCAUCCCAGUUUGCUGAUCCGAUCAUCUGCUGAAGGGCAUUUGGGCUUUGCCCAAAUUGUUUUUAGCAAUAACGACACAGCUGCGAUGGAUAUAAAUUUUCUCCCACAGCCAGACCUUAUGCACAUAUGGGCUACAUCCAACUGAAUCAUCUAUGUCCCUUCUGGAAAGCAGACGUCUGCAAACUCCUUCAAUACUUGCUCAGAGAGCCACGCUGCAACAGAAACGUCCUGCCUGUGAGUGUUUGCUACUUAACUUGCAAUAUGUUAUAUAAAAAAAGUAAUAAAUUACUAAGUUACUUUUAACUACUAGGGCAUCAUUCUAGAACAGGAUAUGCACAUAAAUAAACUUUUUUUUUUUUAAGGUUUUAUUUAUUUCUUUGACAGAGACAGAGCACAAGCAGGGGAAGGGCAGAGGCAGAGGGAGAAGCCGACUCCCCACUGAGCAGGGAGCCCGAUGUGGGGCUCGAUCCCGGGACCCUGAGAUCAUGACCUGAGCCGAAGGCAGACGCUUAACCGCCUGAGCCACCCAGGCGGCCCAAUAAACUCCUGUUCUUAUCUUAACUCCUAGGAAAUCCAUAAUAAGCAAUUCAUAGAGCUGCUAGGCACGCAUGUAUUGCCUGCCUUUUUGGUUGUCGUUUCUCUUCGAUUCUUUAUCACUGGGUUUUGAUUUCACUGAAACAGCUACUGCUACAUCAACAUAAUCUCAACAUUCUCAGGCUCUUCCCACAAUAACGCCACUUGCUUUGAUAACCUGUAUGGCUUUCUGCACACAGACCGGUGACUGCCCAGCGGCUGUAUUUAUGCUGAUGUCUGGUGUUAAUGACCAGACUGGCCUUUGAAGUUACAAUAAGGUAAGAGAUGCUGCAAGUACUCCAGAGACAGAGGUGUCUAACCGCGCCCCUACUAGCAGAAACUGCCGUACCCAAUCAAAAUUACCCAGUAAAUGCAAGAAAAGUGGAUUUACCAACUAUCUACAGGCACCAGGUACUGUGAUAGCAAGUGUCAUCAUACGUGGAAGAUACAAUAUUGGUAACAAUGUCAAAACCGUACGAGAAUAAUGGCUAACAGGCCCGUGCUAAAUAUUUCACGUGGAAGUUUAAACCAUCAACACAUAUUUAGUCUGCUAAAACCCCACAGGAUGACCUUCUUGUGACUUUAUGCAUCAAGCCCUGACGCUCUUAAUCUGCCUCUCCUGUGCCAGACUGGCCUGGCACAUGGCAUAUGACUGACUUCUCAUCUGGCUGCUGGCCCACAUUUGGGCUCCUCUGAGUCAGGGUCCAAGGGGGGGACCUCCCAUUCACUCUUGCCCUCUCUUCAUCCCUAGGGCCCAGCCUGCAAGUGGAUGGGCUCAGUCCCAGCUUCCUCCAAGGUCGUGUCCCCAUCUCCACGGUCUGCAGGAGGCAGAGGGACAGGUGCAGCUCUGCACUAGGCAGGCUUAGCCUCUGACCCUCAGCUCCGCAUUGUCUCCUGGGUAAGCAGCCUGAUGUCACCAACAGCCAACUGCUGAACAGCCGUUUGCCAAACAGCCAAUUCCUUGAAUGACCAAUUUACAAAAUAAACGAUAUGCUGACUUCACUUUUUUAAGCUGUCUAGUCUUAACUGAGCAGUUUUUAAUUCUGUCUUCAUAAUAGUCUUAGAAGAAAUGUAGUCUGCCCGUCUCGCCGUUGCUGUAGAGCUGAGCCCGAGGAGGAGACUGGGGACAGCAGAGGGGCAGAGGUUGAGGGGCUCCUGCAGAACUCUCAGUGGACUGACUUUGUGGACACUGAACUAGAGCCACUUGGAGAUGCCCACAGUGCUAUUCCCAAAGGGAAUGAAAAAGGCUGUGCUAUUCCUAACACAUGUCUUUAAAAGCCUUUCCUUCAGCACUGACAAGUUCACAAACAUUCCCAACUACACGCGCUGAGGAGGAGGCAAGCGGAGAGAGACUUGAAGAGGCUGACCUUGAAGACCGGAGACGCAGCCCCAAGUGAUACAUGUGACAGCUCUGACCAAGAACACACAGCAAGCUGUCCAGGUUUCCCGUGAUGAAGGUCCCUGCUGCGGACAGGUGAUGCCCUAAGACGGCGGAGUGGAGGGCUGGCUGAACCAACCAAGGCCACAGCCAGCAAGUCUGUGGUGUCAGCAACACAGCGCUGCGUGAAACACACCAACGUGUGCGGAUGCAUAGGAUUACCAGUGAUUUUACUCAUUUCAGAGUUUCCUACAAUUGUCAAGUUUUCUAUGAGAAAGCAUCUAUCACCCCAAAAAUGGGGGGGGUCAGUAAGAAUAAAAAGAUAAGUACAGAUGGCAUGAAACUUGCCCUCAAGAAGCUCCGAGUCUAGUCAUGGAAGCAGCCAUGUAAGUAAAUGAUUAAAAUGCCACGUGGUAACACUGUGAGACACCACAGCACUCCCCAGCUAUGGGCACGGCCAAAAUAAAACCCUCACGGUAUCUGAACUGGGUGAGGGUUGGGAGCAACCGGAACUCUCGGACGCCGCGGGCGGCAACCUGAAAUGGAGCCGCUGUUUGGGACGCUGCUCGGCAGUUCCGUCCAAGGCCAAGCAUACAACUACCCUCAUCCCAGCAACUACACCCCCGGGUACGUACCAAGGAAAAUACAAAGACAUGGCCACAAAGAGACUGACGUAAGACUGUUCAGAGCCGGGAGUAAGACGCGGAAAGGGGGAGCUGUUGCCUAAUGGGUAGGGUCUCAGGUUUACAAGAGAAAAAGUUCCAGGUGGUUCACAAUGCAAAUGUAGGUAACUGCUGCACUGUAUGCCUGCAAACGGUAAGACAGUAAAUCUCAGGCUAUGUGCUUUGUACCUCAAUAAAAAAGAAGAAGAAAAAAUUCAUAGACUUAUUCUUAAAAGCCCUAAGCUGGAAACAAACCAAACGUCCGUCACGAGGCGGGUGCAUCAACUGAUGUAUAUUCACACAGAGGGCAACGUUUGAGCCCAAAUGAAAGAAGCCACGCACAGAAGGAGGUGUUGCAGAAUCCCAUUUAUGUGAGAUUUUAGAGCAGCAGAACUAGUCUAUGGGGAUGACAGACUACUCAGAGCAGUGGUGGCCUCUGGGGACAGGGAUGACUAGGAAGGGGCGUGAGGGAACUUUCUGGGGUGAUGGAAGGGUUUUAUUUUCCUGAUUUGGAUGGUGACUGAAUGGGUAUAUAUUUGUCGUAUUUGUCCAUAUUCGCCGAAAUAUUUGCUGUCUAUUGUAUGUAAUUGUAUCGUAAUAAAAAAGAGUCUCAGGGAAACAGUGGGCUGAGGGAACUGGAAGGGGCUAAACUCAUCCUCUUGGCUACACGCCAAAGAGCUGCCAGUGGGACGAGACAGAUCAGCAGCCACAGAUAAACACUGUCCCUGCGGCGGUUCAUGGAUACGCCAAGAACAUAACAUUGUGAGAACUUUACAUACAUUUUAACCUCAGUUCCACAGCACAAGCUUUGAUAUUCUAAUAAAUUACUUUAAAAAGGAAAAAUAUACGAUAUAUACACUAAUGUAAUGUAAAAUAAAACAUAGGCCUUCAUCUAA